rnacentral:lncRNA from 1 species
UUACGUAUUUUUCAUAUCGACCACACAUUCGGUACUCUUCGGUAUAUCCCUACGGCAAAGUUCCGAACCGGACCUAGCUCAUUUUAAAGGUAUUGACCCAAGCUAUUCCCCACUUAAAUAUUUUUCUGGGAUCCGGGCCCGUCUGGCCACCACAGAGGUUCAAAGUUGCCCAUUUAUGUAUUUUCAAUACCCAUAACCCAGAUCCUUUUUCCUAUUUUAUAUACUACAAAGUCUAUAAUUUCGUUGAAUUUGGGAUAUUGAAACACCAGGGGUCUCACCGUUAUCUGAGUGGUCUCCCGUAGGUUUUCACUAUAUAUAUUUUUUUUUUUUUUUUGGCUUUCCAUAGAUAUUUCUAUUUAUAUUUCUUAAUGUUUUUAGAGUGGCUGGCUUUAGUUUUAGUUUUAUAUAUUUUAUAUUAAAUUAAAUCUUUGAUGAAUCUUUGAUGUCGUUUUAUUGAUAAAAAUUCAUAUUACAUAAAGACAAAUAUGUAAUUAAUAUAAGGGUUUAUAUUCGAGGACAACGAGAAUUUACGACAGCUUGAAGGGGUCAUAAAACUAUUUGCGGCGUAAUUUUUCACUCCUGUUAACUAUGAAAAUCAUACUUUUUAAUGAUUUUCAACUAAAUUUUAAUAUUGAACCGACUGCUAGCAACCGGUUUGAUAUUGAAUAUCGAAUAUCGAAUAACAAACCGGCAGCUAACUUCACAUACAUAUUUUAAAAGUAAUGAAAUGCUUUUAAAAUCAUUACAAGCCGCGAAAUUGUCGAAUUCCGCUGUUAAAUUAUAUUUAACUAAGAUUUAGCGAUUUUUGGAACGUUUGAGUCUCAUGCAAUUUUUUGGUUUUUAGACAUAUCGUCAAAAUUGGCUGCUGGAAAAAAGUGGCUGCUAUCUUGAUUGGCCGAUAAAAGUGGCUGCCAGCUUGAGUCUGGU